GGAGAUGUAGAUGGAUGGUUUGUGUAAUCAAAGUAUCAAGAUCACUAACUUGACAACAUUUUCUUAGCAGAGUACUCUUGCUUGAUGUCAUUGUUAGAGUCUUUUAUACCAAUGCCAGUCAGUCACAAUCCCAAUUACUCCUUUUUCAUUCAUUUUCGUGUGAUUGAAGUGAGAGUAAAUUGGUUAAAUGUGUACUUCUAUGCGUAGAGGAUAUAGAUCCAUUAAUGAGUUAUGCAGUGAUGUUUUUUUUUCAGAAAUUAAAUGACAUAGGCCACAACUCAUCAAAUCUUGAAGCUGCUUGAAAAAUGAUGGUCUCUUAGACUCACUUUUAUCUACUUGUAUUUUAAAUAUUCUAAAAUGUUGCCAAUAACUUGGAUGCGCUUGGCCAUUUUACAUGUUGGUUGAUAUAUUAUGUAAUUAAAUAAGGCUUCAACUCUAUUAAUUAUUUCAUAAUUCUCUCCACUUAUGUUAUCUUUUUAUAUGCUGUACUUACGUAAAUGUAAUGAUACGAUAGUAUAUUUAUUAUAGUAUAUUUUGUAUUAAACCCUCAGGUCAUUCAAGUCCUGAGGUUCUCUUUAAUUCAACUUUGUAGACAACUAUCAUCCAAAACAUGUAGGACUGAUCAAACUUUGGCAGAUGAUGGCAGAUUUUGAGAGAUA
rnacentral:misc_RNA from 1 species